AGUACAGCUAUCGCUUCGUAUACACGAAAAAUUUCUGGGUAUAUGGCAGGUCUGUUGGCGUGCCGAGAGAAACGUGGUAAUCUGAGGCGUGACAGAUUAAGUUGGUAUCAGAGUUUAGAAUUAGGUCGUUGGGACCUAGAAACCCUAGGCUUGGCACACCUUAGAAAGUCGAGACGCGAGAGGCGUGAUUUAUUGCGAAAGUCGGUGAUUGAGUUGUUUAACUCCUCCUAGAGUGGAGGGAGUGACUGAAGGAGUGUUUGUUUCUGCCAAGAAAAUUAUGUCGGCUGCAGACGGCAUAAUUUUGAGGAAAACAAGGGGCUGCCUUUUAGACUUUCGCUUGAUUGGGUUGAUAGUUGUGUGUGUUUUAU
rnacentral:lncRNA from 1 species